CUAACGGCUGAACCAGCAACUGGAGGAAUGAACGGCAAUAGCUGGUUGCACUAUCAAUAACUUAGUGCAAAAUCGACUCUGUCGAAUAAAAUUCUAGGUAGAAGUAUGAUAAUGACAUUAUCUAUCUAUGUGUCUUGACCAAAUUACGUGCCAGCAGUCGCGGUAAUACGUAAAAGACUAGUGUUAUUCAUCUUUAAUAGGUUUAAAGGGUACUUAGACGGUAAAUCAAGCCCGAAAAGGGAACUAAUGUACUAGAGUUUGAUGUAAGGAAGUAUAAAAGUACUGUUGGUGUAGAGAUAAAAUUCUAUCAUACCAAACAUGGCACAGGUUUAGGCGAAAGCAUCUUCUUAUGUAAUAACUGACGUUGAAGGACGAAGGCUUUGUGUCUCGAACAGGAUUAGAUACCCCAGUAGUCUAAGCAGACAAUGAUGAAUGUCAUAGAUUAGAUUUAAUUUAUUCUAUAAAUGAAAGUGUAAGCAUUCCACCUCAAGAGUAAUUUGGCAACAUUGGAACUGAAAUCAUUAGACCGUUUCUGAAACCAGUAGUGAAGUAUGUUGUUUAAUUAGAUGGUCCGCAAAAAACCUUACCACAAUUUGAAUUAAUUAUAUGUUUACAAGCGUUGCACGGCUGUCUUCAGUUAAUGUCGUGAGAUUUUGGUUAGUUCCAUUAAAUUAACGUAAACCCUUACUUUAUUUUUAUAUAAAGUAGUUCACCGCUAUAUUGAAUAUGAUAAAAGGGACUAAGAC
rnacentral:rRNA from 1 species